UGGGGAAUUUUGGACAAUGGGCGAAAGCCUGAUCCAGCAAUGCCGCGUGUGUGAAGAAGGCCUUCGGGUUGUAAAGCACUUUUGUCCGGAAAGAAAUCCUUGGCUCUAAUACAGUCGGGGGAUGACGGUACCGGAAGAAUAAGCACCGGCUAACUACGUGCCAGCAGCCGCGGUAAUACGUAGGGUGCAAGCGUUAAUCGGAAUUACUGGGCGUAAAGCGUGCGCAGGCGGUUUGCUAAGACCGAUGUGAAAUCCCCGGGCUCAACCUGGGAACUGCAUUGGUGACUGGCAGGCUAGAGUAUGGCAGAGGGGGGUAGAAUUCCACGUGUAGCAGUGAAAUGCGUAGAGAUGUGGAGGAAUACCGAUGGCGAAGGCAGCCCCCUGGGCCAAUACUGACGCUCAUGCACGAAAGCGUGGGGAGCAAACAGGAUUAGAUACCCUGGUAGUCCAGCGCCCUAAACGAUGUCAACUAGUUGUUGGGGAUCAUUCCUUAGUAACGUAGCUAACGCGUGAAGUUGACCGCCUGGGGAGUACGGUCGCAAGAUUAAAACUCAAAGGAAUUGACGGGGUCAUAGCUGUUUCCU
rnacentral:rRNA from 1 species